UUUCUCUGCAGCUGAAUGUGAUUUCUUGAAGUGGGUGGUGGUGAUUGUAGCUUGACAAGCACUUUGGCCAUUGUUGUCUUUAUAAUACAAGAGGUUAUAAUACGCCCUCUGAGCAGCGCUACAUCUUCACGGCAGAUUGGAGGCUGCAGUGAGUCGCUCUCUAGAAGUGACCAGGGCUAGCUCAUUAGCAUGCUAACUCAAGUACGACAUAAGACAUGAUAUAGACAAGAGUAAACAUUGGUGCUGCUUUCCGCCGCUGGAGACAACUCUUGCUGAGUAAAGGAAUGAAGUUUGAUGCUGUACUCACAACGUUUCUUCUAGACUGAUCACAGAAGUUACUGUCAGGGGAGAAAGGCGCCUUCCGAUCGGCUCAGCGUCCAGCGCGGCCGGCCAAACAAGGCCCGCGCUUUCAGAACGACUCUCUCGCUCUCUUUCAUCAUUUACAGAGGGAGCGUGCCGUGCCAGCACCGUCCUCCUCUAGAACAAGGCCGCUCGCUGUCGGGAGGACAAUGGACAGUAGAGCCGGAGGUGGCAGUGGACUCAUUGUGACGGGUGAUGUCACCGGCAUCAGACCCCGACGCUGCCAGACACCGAGCGGAGGGUCGACGGGUCAAGAGUGAGGGCGGACGGCAGAAUGGGUCGCAAAGGGGCUGGAGCCAAUCCCAGCUCAUAUUGGGCGAGGGCAGAGUACACCCUGAGACAGGUCGCCAGUCAUCAGUCAAUCACUAGGCUGACAUAUAGUGACAAACAACCAUUCACACUCACAGACAAUUAAGAGUCACCAGAUAACCUAACCUGCAUGUCUUUGGAUUGUGGGAGGGGGCCGAGGAGAACAGGCAGCAUGUCUGAAACUGACAGUCCCAACAUAGCAGCGCCUAUAAUAUUUUCAGUGGUGAAUUUAAUGCACUUUUCAGAGUGGGUGAAUUGGAAAACACUGUUAAACUAGGUGAAAAACAUGCGGAUGAGAUUUAUGUUGGGACUUUGUUCCAUCAGUUGUCUCCACAGUCACACUACACUGGGAUGAUCAAUUGUCAUGCUGAUGCUUGUUUUCAUGUCUGAUUCCCCACAUCCGUGGGAUCGGGUUUAUAUUUACCUGUGCUCCUGUUUAAUAUCAGCUAAGUCAAGUAUUUCUACCUGAAUUUCCACCAGUAGCAACAUUUAGCGGCCAGUGUUUCUGCUGUGUUGUAGACACACUCAAGAAUGCAAAACAAUCCUCUCCGUCUGCUGAUUUGUAAAUUGAAAAAGAGAACAAGAAUACCAACAAGGAUGCCGUUGACAUUACAACCAUAACACACAUUGUUUCUGUCUACCUGUCUGGAAGAAGCAGAGUAAACACAUCCAACCACCCAGUCACCCACCCAGCCCAUGCCCACUUUCUCUGGUAUAAUUUGUUGUUUUAGUAAUUACAGACACAGCUUAGCUGUGGCUGGCAAAAUGUUUGCCGUUGUUUAAAACAAUUAAACCAGCCUGAAUUCACCAUUGUGUUAAACCUAAUGGCCAAAAAGAGGCUUUGGACUUUUUAGUUUUGUUGGCGUACAUCUUAACAUACAAACCUGAGGGUACAAGUUCCUUAAAGGACGAGUUUGACUUUUUUUUUUAAUACCACUUUCAUAUCUGUUUGUGAAACAAUUCCAGCAGAUCAACUCCCAUAAAACCAUAACUUAUCACUUUUUGUAUUAAGAGAAAAAUGAAACCAAUUCAUUUUCCUAAAGAAGAAAAGAUGUUGCUGCUUUUUCAGAUCACAUCUGCAUGUGGUUCAGAGCACAAAUUAUUGCCUAGAGGAGUAAUGACCUUUGCAUUUGUGCACAAGCUCAGUGGUUUCACCUUUAAAGCUGGUGAUGACUUUUCCAAUGAAAUCUUUUGUCCUUCAUUAUACAUUUAACUGGAGAAAGGUCUUGUAAAACAAUGGCUUGAAGUCAUUUGGCAGAAGACUGUCCUCCCAAGCCAAAUGAUAGCAUUAUUCAUUGCAGCAAAUACCCCCCAAAAACAUACUCUAUGUUUAUGUUCAAAUGAAAAAGAAAAACCUCUAGUGGCCGUAGAUGUGAUGACACUAAAAAAGGAUGUAAUGUUGUUAUAGAGUCACAAAGUCUACAGAGGGAGGAAGUUGGCGUAGGUUGAAUGGGUAAACAACACACUGGACUAUGACAUGGGAGAUCACUAUUUUGCUUCCUCUUUCCUACCAGCAGUCAACUUUGGUUUCUUUAAAACCAUGACCACAAUCGUUCCCUAACCAAGUCGUUUUUGUGCCUAAACCUAACCAAACCCUGACCACGGUGGUGUUCAAUUCAAAAACAGGUUUAUUUUUCCUCGGUUUUGGAAGCCAUACUGACGGAUGAUGUCGUCCUGCCAAUACGGGGGUCAGAUCACAGCGGAGGGGUCAACAGUGUUUUUUUUGUCACUUUAUCUGAAGGACUUGUUGAAUACCGGUCCGGACUCAUGUUCAAGAAAGGUACCACGACAGAGUUAUUAUGUUUAUAUAUGAUGCUUUUACAUUCAUCUCUGUACAUAAGCUAAAGAUAUUCUGAUAAGACGGACUGAGUGCAGUGUCAUCCAACCAGAAUUCUUUAGUCAAAACGUCUAAUAACCAACAAAUAAAAGUGACAGUAAAAUGAAAAAGAGCUUUCUCUAUAAGUAUCAGGUUAAAUGCAGGAAUGGAUGAAAACCGAACAUGGGACUUAAAAAAAAAUACGAUUUAGCUAUUUUUACAACUAUACAUCACAUUUAUUACAUUUCUAAGAGCAACUGACUUGAAACCAUUGAACAUUUUCAAAGUUUUUGAAGCUGCAUACAAAUAAAAGCGGAGAUGCAAGAUGUCUGCUAUGUAAGUCUUCAGUCUUUCAUCUUAUUUUUAUGCAGCUGCUUCAGCUGUAUAAGCGAUCCCAGCUAUGGAAACACUACUUGUGUGUACGUGUGGGAACAUCAAAACAGUUUUAAUUGUGGCUAAUCCUGGACUAAGAUUAUUUCUAAUGGGAAAUCUUCAGUGGAGAUGCUUCAGCUCAACUUCCAUCUGGGAUUAUUGAACUCUUUCAUUCACAGGCUUAUAUCUCAGUGUGGAUAAUCAGCCUUUCGUGUCUUGGAUUGCCAUUUAAAAAAAAUAUAAAUAAAUAAGUAAAUAAGA